GCCCUCUUUUCCAGCCUAUUAGAGGAAGAGCCUGCUGCACUCUGCAAACAAGCAGAGGUGUGUAUAUCAGAGGUCUGUUCCUUGAUGGGGCGCGCUGGGACAGAAAGACCAAACGUCUUGCUGAGUCCUAUCCCAAAGAGCUGCACGACUCCAUGCCUGUGAUGUGGUUGAAGCCCAUGAAGCGAGGCGACAUUCCUGAGAGGAUGUGUUAUCUGGCGCCCGUCUACAAGACGAGCGAGCGACGUGCACCCUGUCCACCACUGGACACUCCACCAAUUAUGUCAUCGCCAUGACACUCAACUCCAAUGUUCCUGCGGAGCACUGGAUCAGAAGAGGGGUCGCUCUACUCUGCCAGCUCAGCUCGUAGUCUCAGCUUUGACUUACGUCUGGAUUUGUUUUACACUCUGACGUGUAAUUAAAAAAAAAUCGGGAACAGAAACCGAUGCAGGCUCUCUGGGCUUUUUUUCAGAAUGUUACAAACCUGCAACACCAAAAAAUGACACCAAUAAUCAUCCACAAAACACACAAGAGCACGUGUCGUACACAAUGUCAGUGCCACGAUGCAUCAGCUGGACGACAUCAGUGAGGCUGGUCGAGCUCCUGUAAAGGACCGCUUCACGCUGCACUGGAUAAUAACACAAACCACAAUCUUCUCCUAAACCAAGCUUAUUAUAGUUAAAUAAAACUACAACCAGAUAUCAAAAAUAAACAUUAGUUAACUGGUUUUGUGAACUUGGAAAACUAAAAUGACUUAAAAUAUGGAGGUAAUACGUUUGGUUUUAGUACCAGUUAAAACAUUAAAACUUGCUGAUGAGGGACUGAUGGACACAUUUCUUGAGGCUUUGAGUGUCUACAAGACCAAGAAGACACUGAACACUUCAUAGACACCUCAGCUUCACUACGGGAACUGCAACACUAUGCACUCCACACACUGUAUAUAAAUGCCACUUGUUUUGCACAUAUCCAACUCUGUAUAUUUUUAUAUAUUUUAUUUAUUAUUAUUAUUAUUAUUAUUAUUAUUUUUUUUUUUUUUUACUAUUUAAUUUGUAAAAAUGUGUAUACACACACACACACACACACACACACACACGUAGGAUAAUAUUUAGUAUACACAUCCAGAAAUGCAUACACUAUUAUAUAUUGUACAUAUAUUUAUUAGUUUCAGAGUGCCAUUCUUGUAUUUGCUGGUUUGUGUUGUUGUGUUUUGCACAUCUCUGUUGCUUGUGGGGCUCGCACACAAGAAUUUCACUCGCAUGUGCUGUGACAGUGUGCCUGCACAUGUGAUGUGACAAUAAAAGUGAUUUGAUUUGAUUUGAUUUGAUGAUGCUACAUUCUUUAGAGCUAUGCUCGUAGCAUUCUGCCUGUUAGCUUAGCACAAUAACAACAACAACAACGAAAAGGCGCUCUCUCACCCAGGAAACACACAGUCGCAGAAAGAGAGAGAGCGUCGCCCUGUAACCAUGGCAACCAUUACGCUGCCGCCUGGAACAACAGAACGUAGCUGUCAAACAAAACACAAACAGUCCUGACCCGCGACAAUAUGAAACAGGAAAGUACCGCAGUGUAAUCCAUUUAUUUCAACAAAGUAACUGUAUUCUGAAUACCACCUUUUUAAACGGUAACUGUAACGGAAUACAGUUACUCAUAUUUUGUAUUUUAAAUACGUAACGGCGGUACAUGUAUUCCGUUACUCCCCAACACUGGUCAUAGCCCUGUAGGAGUUCAGAGUUAAGAGGUCAAGAGUUAAUGUUUCCAUUGUAACACCUCCAGAUUUGACAGAGAAACACUCAUUUUUAACACUCGAUUUUAACUACUAUCAUUUUACACCUCAGAGUUACAUUAAAAGAAUGUGACUCUGCUUAGAGUAAAAUUAACUCUACUUUUGCAAGAAGACUAUUAACACCAAAACAUUUAACACUUUUGAAUUUGCUGUGUAUGUGCAUUAAUAUUGAUUACGGCCGUGUGUUUUCUUGUUUAUCUUUUGCAGGGCGCAUUUUGUGAAUCUGUCGGACACGGAUGCCAGUCCAGCACAGCACUUCCUGAGACAGUAGUUGCUAAAACAGGAUCGGUAAAGAGACUAAAGGCGAGGUGUCAGGUAAAGGGGAUGAGUGUCUCAGCAAAUAUAAUGGCAUAGAAUUAAAUUAAAUUAAAACGUUAAAGGGUCUGCCAGCUCAUUUACGUUUGAUUUGUGUGACGUCAUUAAGUGUGCAGGAGUUAGUAGCAGCUGGAGGGUAUAUGAUGUGUGGGUUUGUAACUACCCCAUGAUAUGCUCCAGCCACUCUUAUUGGAGCCCCUCGUGGGUCAAACACAUUCAUACAUACACAGCAGGUCAGUGGUGCUCCUGGGAGAAUGUGGUAACUUGGACAGGAGUAGGAUGGCAGCCAUAUGUGCCGCGGGGCCUAAAAGGAAUAGCAAUUCAAAGGGAUCAUUCUGUUUCUCGUAACCCUGUCACUAUCUCCCUAGGUCCAUGGAACACCCUGCCCAAAGCCGAGAGCCCGGGAGGCGUGUUCUAUCUGGUAAUCGGGGUGAUGUGACAGGAACAGAUCCAUUUCCACUGUUAUACAUCCAUCACUCCAUCUACCACCCUCGUCAUUCUUCUCAUUUUUUCAAACCUUAAAUUUUUAUCAACAUAGAUUGCCACCUCCCUUUUUAUUAGUCCUAUCUAAGUGGAGGAAUUCAUAUCCCUCUAUCUCAAAAUCCUCUUCUUUUCCAGUGUUUAUCCAAUUCUAUUCUGUAUGACUUAAAGCAUUUAUGACAUGGUCUGAUUUUCUCACCCAAUAAAGGAAUAUUUCAUA
ensembl:lncRNA